ACCAAAACGAUGUAAAAAUGUAAAAACACUUUUUAAAGAUGGAUAAGUUUCGAAGAGGGUUGAUUAGAGGACGAUCUCCCUACCCACAUGUCCUCCCCCUCGGCCAGGGUCAUCACUUUGAAGGGAGGUUGGAACCACGGUCCUGUGCAUCCUCUGGAGCCCCGGCUUUAGUGGACAGCACAGCUGCAGUGGCUGCUGCUCUAGAAACCUCGGGUUAUAAUUGCCAUCAAUAGGGUGAGGAGUGACACAAUCCGAAAGUAUUGGGAAAUUUCAAGUGCAGGGCCUUCCGGAAGCCCGGCUUUCAAGCCUCUUUCUGAAAGAAAGUCAGGCUUUUGGCUGUGCUAUAUCCACAGUGCUGAGGAGUGGGGCGAGGCUGCAGUGAGGAGCAGAAGCAAAGCAGAGCAGAGCUGCCUCCUGACAGCUCCUUCAAGCCUGCAGCCAUUACCUUCUCAGUGCGUACAGUUUACUCGAGUGUUGCUCUUAGGGCUUCAAUAAGAGAGAGUGAGGUACUUUUCUGCCCUAGUAACUAGCUUGAUAACUCCUUAGUUUUUAAACUUACGUGAAAUAAGCAGCUGUGACGUGGGGAUGAAGCAUAAGAGUAGAACCUUCUGGAAUCCUUAUCUACUUGGCUAGGAGGUCACUUUUUCACCUGACUCGGGUUGGUUUUCAUUACAUAAGUGGUGUGGCUUUUCCUCACCAAACAAGGGUCCCUGCCACUGUGGCUCACAUGACCUCUGGAGUUUGACACAGAUGUCUAGCCAGAGACUGCCCCUCAGGAGUCUUCCUGUUAGGAGCUUGAAGGCAGAAGGUCAUUUUCAAGGCAGGUUUCUAUUGGAUGAUUGGCAGUGAGCUUCCAAAGACCUGCCUGUUGCUUUCCCUGUCCCCUCUUCCUGGGAGCACCUGGAUUUUCACAUGGCCUUGGGGAUUCUUGUGCCUGUGUGGCAGGCACUUCACCUAAGCAGCUGUCUCCCCAGGCCCCUCAGCAUUUUUAUUAAACAGCAGCAAAGCUCUGUUUAGUAGUGGUUUUCUCAGCACAUAGCUUCUUUCCUGCAGGGAGGCAGUGGAGAGGGAGGGACAAGCGGGAUUGCCCUUCCUGUCACUGCCCUGGCAAAUCUCUUCAAGUUAUGAGGUCCUGUGCCCUGAAGUCCCAUGAGCACCUUGGUGUCGCUUCCAUCUUAAGGAGCUCUGAGCAUCUGUAGGAGAGGUAGGAGAGAGUUCUCUAGAAUUAAUCCAGGGCAGAGUGACUUACUCUGGUCAUCUACUGCUAGCUGACAUGAUUACCCAUGAGUUUAAACUGAUCCAGAGUAACUGACUGUAGUCUAAGCAGGAGAGGUCUCUAGGUUAGGGAGCAAUACCAUGAGAGCCUUUUGAUUCAACCCAGUACAUGCCUUCUCAGUUUAGUGGUUUCUAAAUGGAUGGAGAACUGGGGAAAAAAAAAAAAAAAAAAAAAAAACCUUUAAAAAACUUUAAUU
rnacentral:lncRNA from 1 species